rnacentral:rRNA from 1 species
AUUGAACGCUGGCGGAAUGCUUUACACAUGCAAGUCGAACGGCAGCACGGGGGCAGCCCUGGUGGCGAGUGGCGAACGGGUGAGUAAUACAUCGGAACGUGCCCGGUCGUGGGGGAUAACGUAGCGAAAGUUACGCUAAUACCGCAUACGAUCUGAGGAUGAAAGCGGGGGACCUUCGGGCCUCGCGCGAUCGGAGCGGCCGAUGUCAGAUUAGGUAGUUGGUGGGGUAAAGGCCUACCAAGCCGACGAUCUGUAGCUGGUCUGAGAGGACGACCAGCCACACUGGGACUGAGACGCGGCCCAGACUCCUACGGGAGGCAGCAGUGGGGAAUUUUGGACAAUGGGCGCAAGCCUGAUCCAGCCAUUCCGCGUGCAGGACGAAGGCCUUCGGGUUGUAAACUGCUUUUGUACGGAACGAAAAGGCUCUGGCUAAUACCUGGGGCUCAUGACGGUACCGUAAGAAUAAGCACCGGCUAACUACGUG